UAGGGAAUUUUCGUCAAUGGGCGCAAGCCUGAACGAACAAUGCCGCGUGAACGAGGAAGGUCUUCGGAUCGUAAAGUUCUGUUGAAGGGGAAAAAGAGCGGAGAGAGGAAAUGGUCUCCGAUUGAUAUUACCCUUCGAGGAAGUCACGGCUAACUACGUGCC
rnacentral:rRNA from 1 species